CUUAAAUGAUUGCGCUGAAUGUAGUCGAGAUAUAAUCUGUACAAAAUGAAAAGUCUUGUGCUUUGUGUCUGUGUUUUAAUACUUGCUUCAUCAAGCUCAGAACUAAGAAAAUAGCUCAAAAGUACAGUUAAAUCAAACCUAGACAAUGAUGCUGCAGCGUGCAUGACUGAAAAUAAUAUGACUAAAGAUGACCACUACAUAGAAUAUGAGAUAACAAAUGACACACACGAGGAACCUGAAAAUGCAGAAAGAACAAGAAAAAAAUGACUAAUGCAGCAAGAAAUAUUACACAAGUAUGUGAGAAAGGUUUCUCUCUGUACGCAUGCGUCGCAGAAACUUUAUUUAAAUCACGAACCUGAAAAACAUGAAAUAUUAGAAGCAGAAGCAGCAGAAAUAGAAGACGAAGUGAUAACAGCUAAAAUAAGCUGAAUAAAUACAAAUAAAUAAAAAUUAGAUAUUACCCAUAUAAUUAUUAAUGCACAUGUAUAAUACACACACUACAUAAUUUAUCUUAAAUAUAUAUAUAUAUAUAUAUAUAUAUAUAUACUCUCUUGUAUGUACACUGUGCGCAUCAAUGAUUUCUUUUCUGAGGUCAGGGGGAAACAUAGAAGUCUAGAGACGCUAUUAGUAACUUCUAUUAAAAUCAUUAGAAUUUUUAUGUUCCCUCUUUACCUCAGGAAAGGAAUUAUUGACGCGUAUUUUAUUCUCUCUAUUCUUAUUUUUCUGAUUUAAUAAAUGUGCUGCAAAUAUG